GAUGAACGCUGGCGGCGUGCCUAAUACAUGCAAGUCGAGCGAACGGACGAGAAGCUUGCUUUUCUGAUGUUAGCGGCGGACGGGUGAGUAACACGUGGAUAACCUACCUAUAAGACUGGGAUAACUUCGGGAAACCGGAGCUAAUACCGGAUAAUAUUUUGAACCGCAUGGUUCAAAAGUGAAAGACGGUCUUGCUGUCUCUUAUAGAUGGAUCCGCGCUGCAUUAGCUAGUUGGUAAGGUAACGGCUUACCAAGGCAACGAUGCAUAGCCGACCUGAGAGAGUGAUAGGCCACACUGGAGCUGAGACACGGUCCAGACUCCUACGGGAGGCAGCAGUAGGGAAUCUUCCGCAAUGGGCGGAAGCCUGACGGAGCGACGCCGCGUGAGUGAUGAAGGUCUUCGGAUCGUAAAGCUCUGUUAUUAGGGAAGAACAGAUGUGGAAGGAACUGAGCACAUCGUGACGGUACCUAAUCAGAAAGCCACGGCUAACUACGUG
rnacentral:rRNA from 1 species